rnacentral:tRNA from 1 species
GCCCAGCUUGCACAGUCAGUAGAGCAUGUGACUCUUAAUCUCAAGAUUAUGAGUUCCAUCCCCAAGUUGGGUG